CCUACGGGAGGCAGCAGUAAGGAAUAUUGGUCAAUGGAGGCAACUCUGAACCAGCCAUGCCGCGUGCAGGAAGACAGCCCUCUGGGUCGUAAACUGCUUUUAUUCGGGAAUAAACCUCAUUAUGUAUAGUGAGCUGAAUGUACCGAAGGAAUAAGAAUCGGCUAACUCCGUGCCAGCAGCCGCGGUAAUACGGAGGAUCCAAGCGUUAUCCGGAUUUAUUGGGUUUAAAGGGUGCGUAGGCGGCUUUUUAAGUCAGGGGUGAAAGACGGUAGCUCAACUAUCGCAGUGCCCUUGAUACUGAAGAGCUUGAAUGGACUAGAGGUAGGCGGAAUGUGACAAGUAGCGGUGAAAUGCAUAGAUAUGUCACAGAACACCGAUUGCGAAGGCAGCUUACUAUGGUUUUAUUGACGCUGAGGCACGAAAGCGUGGGGAUCAAACAGGAUUAGAUACCCUGGUAGUCCACGCCCUAAACGAUGAAUACUCGCUGUUAGCGAUACACAGUUAGCGGCUAAGCGAAAGCGUUAAGUAUUCCACCUGGGGUAAGGUAGGUCGCGAGAGUUAGUUAACGUACGAAGAAGUUAGACGGCGUUGAGAGNGCGACGGACGACGACGAGGGAGGAGG
rnacentral:rRNA from 1 species